rnacentral:rRNA from 1 species
UGAUGCAGCGACGCCGCGUGAGGGAUGACGGCCUUCGGGUUGUAAACCUCUUUCAGCAGGGAAGAAGCGAAAGUGACGGUACCUGCAGAAGAAGCGCCGGCUAACUACGUGCCAGCAGCCGCGGUAAUACGUAGGGCGCAAGCGUUGUCCGGAAUUAUUGGGCGUAAAGAGCUCGUAGGCGGUCUGUCACGUCGGAUGUGAAAGCCCGGGGCUUAACCCCGGGUCUGCAUUCGAUACGGGCAGACUAGAGUGUGGUAGGGGAGAUCGGAAUUCCUGGUGUAGCGGUGAAAUGCGCAGAUAUCAGGAGGAACACCGGUGGCGAAGGCGGAUCUCUGGGCCAUUACUGACGCUGAGGAGCGAAAGCGUGGGGAGCGAACAGGAUUAGAUACCCUGGUAGUCCACGCCGUAAACGGUGGGAACUAGGUGUUGGCGACAUUCCACGUCGUCGGUGCCGCAGCUAACGCAUUAAGUUCCCCGCCUGGGGAGUACGGCCGCAAGGCUAAAACUCAAAGGAAUUGACGGGGGCCCGCACAAGCAGCGGAGCAUGUGGCUUAAUUCGACGCAACGCGAAGAACCUUACCAAGGCUUGACAUACACCGGAAACGGCCAGAGAUGGUCGCCCCCUUGUGGUCGGUGUACAGGUGGUGCAUGGCUGUCGUCAGCUCGUGUCGUGAGAUGUUGGGUUAAGUCCCGCAACGAGCGCAACCCUUGUUCUGUGUUGCCAGCAUGCCCUUCGGGGUGAUGGGGACUCACAGGAGACUGCCGGGGUCAACUCGGAGGAAGGUGGGGACGACGUCAAGUCAUCAUGCCCCUUAUGUCUUGGGCUGCACACGUGCUACAAUGGCCGGUACAAAGAGCUGCGAAACCGUGAGGUGGAGCGAAUCUCAAAAAGCCGGUCUCAGUUCGGAUUGGGGUCUGCAACUCGACCCCAUGAAGUCGGAGUUGCUAGUAAUCGCAGAUCAGCAUUGCUGCGGUGAAUACGUUCCCGGGCCUUGUACACACCGCCCGUCACGUCACGA